rnacentral:rRNA from 1 species
CAGUAGCCGCGGUAACACGUAGGUGGCAAGCGUUGUCCGGAAUUAUUGGGCGUAAAGGGCCCGCAGGCGGUUUCUUAAGUCUGAUGUGAAAGCCCCCGGCUCAACCGGGGAGGGUCAUUGGAAACUGGGAAACUUGAGUGCAGAAGAGGAGAGUGGAAUUCCACGUGUAGCGGUGAAAUGCGUAGAGAUGUGGAGGAACACCAGUGGCGAAGGCGACUCUCUGGUCUGUAACUGACGCUGAGGAGCGAAAGCGUGGGGAGCGAACAGGAUUAGAUACCCCCGUAGUCCCUGUCUCUUAUAC